UACUUUUCAACGAAUCUAGCUGAGUAACGGGUAUCAGAUAGUCGGGGAACUCGACUAUAGCGUUCUCUCUUGUUUUUCAGUUUAAAUUCAUGUCGUAAUUAAAUGGCUUUUGUUUUUUAGAUAACCCCAUUUUUAUUUGUUUUGAUGACGCGCAAAUCGGAGCUAUGUUAUCAGCAUUUAUUUACAUUCAUAGACUUCAAUUAUUUCGGAUUAUGAAAUAGCCAUGCGUAACGCAUUAAAAAACCUGCACCCCUCCAUGCAUUUCUAUGCUUGCUGGUUUCAUUUUACUCAAGCAUUCAAGAGAAAUACAAAGAAAAUAAGUGGCUUCGAAUAUAUGCUUAAUUUCAAUAAGCAAGCGAAUAUUUUGUUUAUAAAAUUAAAACAAAAACAAAUAAAAUGGCUUAAAAAUGUAUUUCUUAAAAUUGUUGUUGAUACAAAUUUAUUGUUACUUAAAAUUUUGUUCGUUUAUUUGAAUCAAUUAUCUUUUAAUCAUCUUUGUAUACAGGAAGGACCCAAAAACAUAUCAGUUUUCAAACGUUCGACGAGAACCACGGGCUCCUUUGAAGCCUAUAAUUUGAAUUUUGGUAAUUUUUUCAAAUUUGUUGAGUUUUUAAUUGAUGCGGAGUAUGAAAAAAGUCGCGAUUUCGCUCUACUUUAUCAAAACGGUGGAAUUGGCAAUCAGUCACAACCAAAGCACCUACAUGUAAGUUUAAACAAUAUGCAAUAAAAUUGCAUCUUCUGCAUACGUUUCUUAGCCUCCGAAUGUAUUAUCUCAAAAGAGUCUGGACGGUUGAACAUGAUGGACCUAUCGUCGAGAAAAUUAAACUUCCUGAGGAGAGAAUAAGUUGAACCCGAGGUAACCAUAUACCGUAGAUCAUAUAGUAGGGAGAGGUUCCAAUACUAGAAUGCACCGAAGAACGUAAAGCACAACAAAUCCUGCUCAAGUAUUCAUCCAAAUCCUUCUGGUCAGAACGUACGUAAGCCCUAAUUCCUGAGAUGACUGAACGAUUAACACGUUCUGAAGCGUUAGCUUGCGGGGAUGCACUGCUUCGGGAGCGCAGGUAGGGCCAAGAAAAUCAAACAAAAAACGUUGGAAAAACCGCUGUGUCUCUGGAGCUCUUCCUAACGGAGGUCUAAGAGAGGAGUUCGUCGGCUUUGUGGAUUUGCACACCUCGCAAGCGAUGACACACAACACCGGUGCUUCCGUGAGACACUUCUUUAGCUCAUGAAAAGCCUUAAUUGCUUCCGGGGUUAGACUGAAUUUUCGCUUUGUAGUCAUUAAAUCGGUCAAUGGAGCAGACAAAGCAGCGAAACUUAAAACAAACUUUCUAUACCAACCGCAAAGGCCCAUGAAACUUCUAAGUCCUCGCAAGGUUUUAGGAAUCGGAAAAUUAGUGAUCGCUGCUACUUUUUCAGGAUCUGUGCGUAUCCCGCCGUCCCCAAUGAUAUAGCCCAAAUAUCGAACUUGCUUCAUACAAAAAUGGCUCUUACCGGCGUUAAUUGUCAGUCCUGCUCCCCUUAUGUGUUAAGCCAGCUCUCUGAGUACCUCUAAAUGCGUCUCAAAGCUUGAAGAAACAAUCAACAAGUCGUCUAAAUAAACGAAAACUUAAUUUCGAUAAUGCAGUGGUACAAUUUUGUCCAUCGGUCUAGACAUAAUGCUUGUCGCAUUACAAAGGCCAAAUUGGUAGAGCGGUCUACCUGGGACAGUAAAGGCCGUCUUAUCACGAAAAUUUACCUAUAAGGGCACCUGGCAAUAGGCAUCCUUUAAAUCUAAGCUGGUUAUAAAUUCUGCCUUAGGAAGUCGACUUAAAAUCCCGCUAAUCUGAGGCAAAGGAUAUGCGUCCUUUUUGGUAAAACUAUAAAACUAGACAAAUACGAACUUUUCCAGGCUUCGUUAUCAUCACUAUAGGUGAAGACCAAGCACUUUGUGACUCUUCUUUCACACCCAACUACAACAUUCUGUCUAUUUCCGUAUACAUACUCUUUUCCACGGCAGGUGAUACCGGGAAAUGACGUUGUUUUAUAGGUUUUGCAUUACCCACGUCAAUGGAAUGUGAGAUUAGGCUGGUUUUACCCAGCUCUUCUUUUGUAAAAGAGGGAAAGCAAUCGAUUAAGUUCCUUAGCUUUGCACUCUAAACGUCGGAUAACACAUGCGUAUCCACACUGAUGUCGCUGGACUUAUGAUCAAAAACAACUACCUCCUCUAUCGCUGCCUCCAGAAGUCUAUUUCCAUUCCCAGCCUCCAAUUCAGAUGCGAAACCGCCUUCUACACAACUUAUAGACGCUCCCGAAUCGAGCAGGCCAACUGGAAUAAAAGGUCGAGGAACCCUGGCUAUAUGAGGAUUGGCACAAAUGGAAUCUAGGUCGUGUUUGCACCGUUUUCCGCUUUGCCAAAAGAUUUUUAUGCGCCUUGAACUACGAGUUUUGCGCUUCCGUAAGUCCGGUAAAUAAUUUAUCUUUGGUAUAUCCGGUAUUUCUUCUAAUGUAGGAAUCUUUUGAUGAAGCAGGGAAAUAUUUUGACUAGCUGCUACAUCUAAUAAGGUGGGGUUAUCGACUUUACACGAUAUCCCAGUUAAUCCGUCGUUGUUGACUGAGUUCUUAAGGCACUCGAAGGCGUCGGUCUGAACUGCAACCUCGACGUGCCGACUUUGGAGUUAUGCACAUUUAACACAACUUGGCUUGUAUGUGUUGGGAACUCCACAACCUUAACAAAAAACUUCCCGUUCUGCUAAACAGUCCUGGUAUCUGUGGCCUUCUUUCCUACAGUUCCAGCAUAUUAGAGAGAAGGCAUCAAUUCCUAGCUCAAUCUCAGCCACAAAAUUAUUAUCCUCUUCUAAAUCUUGAGUUAUCUCUGAGAUCUCACGCCUAAACGGACUGGACUUUGCAUAUCCAUGAGUUUUCUUCACUUCAUCUAAGAAGACCUCGCGUCUUCUGCAAGUUUCUCUUAACUCUGACACUGUUUGAAUCUCGACGUUAAGAAUCUUUAAAACACGAACAAGCUUACGUGCAGACAAUGAACUUCCAGCUGAUCAACUAAUGCCGAUAUGCUAUCGUAAUAGCAGUCUUUUGGGUGAGGGGUUGGCUGGCCUGGAAUUUUGCAAUUAUGCGGAAAUAUAAACACUCAAACAGGCGAACACUUGACUUUUCGUAAUUGCGCGGGCGCGACCGGGCGUAAUGUUUAUUCGGCGAAUACUAAUUAGACACUAAAGCUUAUUCUAAUUAGCUAAGCCCUCCCGAGCGCAGCGGAGACUCCAAUUUAAGCUGCCACGGGGAGAGUAGCAUUGGAGAUUCUGUCGUGAAGAGCGAUAGAGAGAGAGGGAGCGGAGAGCGGGUGACAGUCCUCGCCCCGUAACCUGGACAUUCCGCCCCCCUUGCAAUCACUGGGGUUGCAACAUAUCCAUCCUAAGGCAUGCUGCAGGCACCGGACACGAUCUACCCAAAAACUGUUUUCUGGGCGACCGGCAUUCCCUCGUCGUAGGUCAGGAAUCCGGAUUGGAUGAUUUUUUGAUAAACAUCUGCUCCCAGGACCAUGGAGACGGUAGCUGGCUUGGAACUGGUCAUCAGCCAGCAUGGCAUACCGACAUAUGUCCUCGCGACAUAUCUCCUCCCAGUACAUUUUCGUGUAGGAGCUAGCUCCGCGCGGAGAUGUGACGCUUUCAAAACGACAUAUCUCCUCCGAGCUCAAAAAAAUUUCGGGAGGAGAUAUGACGCUUUCAAAACGAACUCAAAAUGACAUAUCUCCUAGCGGUGAUAUAUAUUAUGUAUAUGAUAUUUUAGUAUAUAUAUAUAAAUAUAUAUAUAUAUAUUUUUUUUUAUAUAUGGUAUAUAUAUGUAUGUACAUAUGUACAUUGUAUGUAUAUGAUCAUUUGCAAAGAAAGACACGCGCCAAAAGUGCGCUUUUCUAAGUACGUACAUGUAUAAAUGCGCAUAAAUACACGUUAAAAUUUUUUUUUUUAAUUUUACAUUUAAGUAUGUUAUUAUAUAUUAUUAUUUUAUACAAAUUCUUGUUUGGUCAGUAUGUAUAUUCUUUAAAUAGUUUUUAGGUUGCAUUCUGUUGUGGGUUUAAAAAUAUGAUUAUUCUUAAUAAAUACUUAAAGUUGUAUACAAAUAUUUUUUUCUGUGUAAACGUCAGUAUGACUUGGCGCCACUGAUCUUCUUUACUUUGCGACUACAGCCGAGCCGGGUGCUCCACAUUAUUGUAUACGCCAGAUGACAAUCAGAUCUAUGUUAAAAAUAGACAAUUAAAAGAAGGUGACAUCGCGUACGUGUGUCGUAUCAAAGACUGCAAAGCUCGGGUUUAUCUAAGUGCGGAUAAGACUCGCGUUUAUUCGAAGACGGAGCAAGUGCAGCAUUUUCAUUGUCCGCAGGGCCAGGAAAUGCAGAAAAUUGAAGUGCUGUUGUCAUGAGUCGUUUUGGGAUGACCAAGGGAAGUUCUCCGAAUGUUUUUUUUAAAAAACUUUACACGUCUGGAUCAUUUGCAUAUUGCAUAUUUUCGUCGGACAAGGUCAUUACUUUGAUGCAAGCAAAUAUUGAGGAGCAGAGUCGGCAUUUUUUAAUUGAUGCUACAUUCAAAGUAUGCCCGUUUGGAGAUUUUAAGCAACUACUUAUUAUUUACAUAAAGCAUAUGCAGAAGGUAUGUGUUUUACUUCAGUUAAAUUUAAUGUCAAAAUUAAUUUGUUUUUAUUAUUAUGUAGAUCACCCCAUUCUUAUUUGUCUUAAUGACGCGCAAAACGGAGCUCUGUUAUCAGCAUUUAUUUACCUAUGUAGAUUCAAACUGACGGGAAAUGACGUUGUUUUAUAGGUUUUGCAUUACCCACGUCAAUGGAAUGUGAGAUUAGGCUGGUUUUACCCAGCUCUUCUUUUGUAAAAGAGGGAAAGCAAUCGAUUAAGUUCCUUAGCUUUGCACUCUAAACGUCGGAUAACACAUGCGUAUCCACACUGAUGUCGCUGGACUUAUGAUCAAAAACAACUACCUCCUCUAUCGCUGCCUCCAGAAGUCUAUUUCCAUUCCCAGCCUCCAAUUCAGAUGCGAAACCGCCUUCUACACAACUUAUAGACGCUCCCGAAUCGAGCAGGCCAACUGGAAUAAAAGGUCGAGGAACCCUGGCUAUAUGAGGAUUGGCACAAAUGGAAUCUAGGUCGUGUUUGCACCGUUUUCCGCUUUGCCAAAAGAUUUUUAUGCGCCUUGAACUACGAGUUUUGCGCUUCCGUAAGUCCGGUAAAUAAUUUAUCUUUGGUAUAUCCGGUAUUUCUUCUAAUGUAGGAAUCUUUUGAUGAAGCAGGGAAAUAUUUUGACUAGCUGCUACAUCUAAUAAGGUGGGGUUAUCGACUUUACACGAUAUCCCAGUUAAUCCGUCGUUGUUGACUGAGUUCUUAAGGCACUCGAAGGCGUCGGUCUGAACUGCAACCUCGACGUGCCGACUUUGGAGUUAUGCACAUUUAACACAACUUGGCUUGUAUGUGUUGGGAACUCCACAACCUUAACAAAAAACUUCCCGUUCUGCUAAACAGUCCUGGUAUCUGUGGCCUUCUUUCCUACAGUUCCAGCAUAUUAGAGAGAAGGCAUCAAUUCCUAGCUCUAUCUCAGCCACAAAAUUAUUAUCCUCUUCUAAAUCUUGAGUUAUCUCUGAGAUCUCACGCCUAAACGGACUGGACUUUGCAUAUCCAUGAGUUUUCUUCACUUCAUCUAAGAAGACCUCGCGUCUUCUGCAAGUUUCUCUUAACUCUGACACUGUUUGAAUCUCGACGUUAAGAAUCUUUAAAACACGAACAAGCUUACGUGCAGACAAUGAACUUCCAGCUGAUCAACUAAUGCCGAUAUGCUAUCGUAAUAGCAGUCUUUUGGGUGAGGGGUUGGCUGGCCUGGAAUUUUGCAAUUAUGCGGAAAUAUAAACACUCAAACAGGCGAACACUUGACUUUUCGUAAUUGCGCGGGCGCGACCGGGCGUAAUGUUUAUUCGGCGAAUACUAAUUAGACACUAAAGCUUAUUCUAAUUAGCUAAGCCCUCCCGAGCGCAGCGGAGACUCCAAUUUAAGCUGCCACGGGGAGAGUAGCAUUGGAGAUUCUGUCGUGAAGAGCGAUAGAGAGAGAGGGAGCGGAGAGCGGGUGACAGUCCUCGCCCCGUAACCUGGACAUUCCGCCCCCCUUGCAAUCACUGGGGUUGCAACAUAUCCAUCCUAAGGCAUGCUGCAGGCACCGGACACGAUCUACCCAAAAACUGUUUUCUGGGCGACCGGCAUUCCCUCGUCGUAGGUCAGGAAUCCGGAUUGGAUGAUUUUUUGAUAAACAUCUGCUCCCAGGACCAUGGAGACGGUAGCUGGCUUGGAACUGGUCAUCAGCCAGCAUGGCAUACCGACAUAUGUCCUCGCGACAUAUCUCCUCCCAGUACAUUUUCGUGUAGGAGCUAGCUCCGCGCGGAGAUGUGACGCUUUCAAAACGACAUAUCUCCUCCGAGCUCAAAAAAAUUUCGGGAGGAGAUAUGACGCUUUCAAAACGAACUCAAAAUGACAUAUCUCCUAGCGGUGAUAUAUAUUAUGUAUAUGAUAUUUUAGUAUAUAUAUAUAAAUAUAUAUAUAUAUAUUUUUUUUAUAUAUGGUAUAUAUAUGUAUGUACAUAUGUACAUUGUAUGUAUAUGAUCAUUUGCAAAGAAAGACACGCGCCAAAAGUGCGCUUUUCUAAGUACGUACAUGUAUAAAUGCGCAUAAAUACACGUUAAAAUUUUUUUUUUUAAUUUUACAUUUAAGUAUGUUAUUAUAUAUUAUUAUUUUAUACAAAUUCUUGUUUGGUCAGUAUGUACAUUCUUUAAAUAGUUUUUAGGUUGCAUUCUGUUGUGGGUUUAAAAAUAUGAUUAUUCUUAAUAAAUACUUAAAGUUGUAUACAAAUAUUUUUUUCUGUGUAAACGUCAGUAUGACUUGGCGCCACUGAUCUUCUUUACUUUGCGACUACAGCCGAGCCGGGUGCUCCACAUUAUUGUAUACGCCAGAUGACAAUCAGAUCUAUGUUAAAAAUAGACAAUUAAAAGAAGGUGACAUCGCGUACGUGUGUCGUAUCAAAGACUGCAAAGCUCGGGUUUAUCUAAGUGCGGAUAAGACUCGCGUUUAUUCGAAGACGGAGCAAGUGCAGCAUUUUCAUUGUCCGCAGGGCCAGGAAAUGCAGAAAAUUGAAGUGCUGUUGUCAUGAGUCGUUUUGGGAUGACCAAGGGAAGUUCUCCGAAUGUUUUUUUUAAAAAACUUUACACGUCUGGAUCAUUUGCAUAUUGCAUAUUUUCGUCGGACAAGGUCAUUACUUUGAUGCAAGCAAAUAUUGAGGAGCAGAGUCGGCAUUUUUUAAUUGAUGCUACAUUCAAAGUAUGCCCGUUUGGAGAUUUUAAGCAACUACUUAUUAUUUACAUAAAGCAUAUGCAGAAGAUCACCCCAUUCUUAUUUGUCUUAAUGACGCGCAAAACGGAGCUCUGUUAUCAGCAUUUAUUUACCUAUGUAGAUUCAAACUGACGGGAAAUGACGUUGUUUUAUAGGUUUUGCAUUACCCACGUCAAUGGAAUGUGAGAUUAGGCUGGUUUUACCCAGCUCUUCUUUUGUAAAAGAGGGAAAGCAAUCGAUUAAGUUCCUUAGCUUUGCACUCUAAACGUCGGAUAACACAUGCGUAUCCACACUGAUGUCGCUGGACUUAUGAUCAAAAACAACUACCUCCUCUAUCGCUGCCUCCAGAAGUCUAUUUCCAUUCCCAGCCUCCAAUUCAGAUGCGAAACCGCCUUCUACACAACUUAUAGACGCUCCCGAAUCGAGCAGGCCAACUGGAAUAAAAGGUCGAGGAACCCUGGCUAUAUGAGGAUUGGCACAAAUGGAAUCUAGGUCGUGUUUGCACCGUUUUCCGCUUUGCCAAAAGAUUUUUAUGCGCCUUGAACUACGAGUUUUGCGCUUCCGUAAGUCCGGUAAAUAAUUUAUCUUUGGUAUAUCCGGUAUUUCUUCUAAUGUAGGAAUCUUUUGAUGAAGCAGGGAAAUAUUUUGACUAGCUGCUACAUCUAAUAAGGUGGGGUUAUCGACUUUACACGAUAUCCCAGUUAAUCCGUCGUUGUUGACUGAGUUCUUAAGGCACUCGAAGGCGUCGGUCUGAACUGCAACCUCGACGUGCCGACUUUGGAGUUAUGCACAUUUAACACAACUUGGCUUGUAUGUGUUGGGAACUCCACAACCUUAACAAAAAACUUCCCGUUCUGCUAAACAGUCCUGGUAUCUGUGGCCUUCUUUCCUACAGUUCCAGCAUAUUAGAGAGAAGGCAUCAAUUCCUAGCUCUAUCUCAGCCACAAAAUUAUUAUCCUCUUCUAAAUCUUGAGUUAUCUCUGAGAUCUCACGCCUAAACGGACUGGACUUUGCAUAUCCAUGAGUUUUCUUCACUUCAUCUAAGAAGACCUCGCGUCUUCUGCAAGUUUCUCUUAACUCUGACACUGUUUGAAUCUCGACGUUAAGAAUCUUUAAAACACGAACAAGCUUACGUGCAGACAAUGAACUUCCAGCUGAUCAACUAAUGCCGAUAUGCUAUCGUAAUAGCAGUCUUUUGGGUGAGGGGUUGGCUGGCCUGGAAUUUUGCAAUUAUGCGGAAAUAUAAACACUCAAACAGGCGAACACUUGACUUUUCGUAAUUGCGCGGGCGCGACCGGGCGUAAUGUUUAUUCGGCGAAUACUAAUUAGACACUAAAGCUUAUUCUAAUUAGCUAAGCCCUCCCGAGCGCAGCGGAGACUCCAAUUUAAGCUGCCACGGGGAGAGUAGCAUUGGAGAUUCUGUCGUGAAGAGCGAUAGAGAGAGAGGGAGCGGAGAGCGGGUGACAGUCCUCGCCCCGUAACCUGGACAUUCCGCCCCCCUUGCAAUCACUGGGGUUGCAACAUAUCCAUCCUAAGGCAUGCUGCAGGCACCGGACACGAUCUACCCAAAAACUGUUUUCUGGGCGACCGGCAUUCCCUCGUCGUAGGUCAGGAAUCCGGAUUGGAUGAUUUUUUGAUAAACAUCUGCUCCCAGGACCAUGGAGACGGUAGCUGGCUUGGAACUGGUCAUCAGCCAGCAUGGCAUACCGACAUAUGUCCUCGCGACAUAUCUCCUCCCAGUACAUUUUCGUGUAGGAGCUAGCUCCGCGCGGAGAUGUGACGCUUUCAAAACGACAUAUCUCCUCCGAGCUCAAAAAAAUUUCGGGAGGAGAUAUGACGCUUUCAAAACGAACUCAAAAUGACAUAUCUCCUAGCGGUGAUAUAUAUUAUGUAUAUGAUAUUUUAGUAUAUAUAUAUAAAUAUAUAUAUAUAUAUUUUUUUUUAUAUAUGGUAUAUAUAUGUAUGUACAUAUGUACAUUGUAUGUAUAUGAUCAUUUGCAAAGAAAGACACGCGCCAAAAGUGCGCUUUUCUAAGUACGUACAUGUAUAAAUGCGCAUAAAUACACGUUAAAAUUUUUUUUUUUAAUUUUACAUUUAAGUAUGUUAUUAUAUAUUAUUAUUUUAUACAAAUUCUUGUUUGGUCAGUAUGUAUAUUCUUUAAAUAGUUUUUAGGUUGCAUUCUGUUGUGGGUUUAAAAAUAUGAUUAUUCUUAAUAAAUACUUAAAGUUGUAUACAAAUAUUUUUUUCUGUGUAAACGUCAGUAUGACUUGGCGCCACUGAUCUUCUUUACUUUGCGACUACAGCCGAGCCGGGUGCUCCACAUUAUUGUAUACGCCAGAUGACAAUCAGAUCUAUGUUAAAAAUAGACAAUUAAAAGAAGGUGACAUCGCGUACGUGUGUCGUAUCAAAGACUGCAAAGCUCGGGUUUAUCUAAGUGCGGAUAAGACUCGCGUUUAUUCGAAGACGGAGCAAGUGCAGCAUUUUCAUUGUCCGCAGGGCCAGGAAAUGCAGAAAAUUGAAGUGCUGUCUGAAGUUAAAAAAAAGUGUCAAAGUAGCUCCAAUAAUGACACCAAAAAAGUUUUUAAUGAUGUUUUGGCUGAAAAAACGGAAGGACAAGCGGAGAUCGAAGUCAAUUACGACACUGUCAAACGCACUCUGCAAAGAAAAAGGCAACCCUUUCUACCCAAAUCUCCAACUUCCGCAGUGGACGUACUUGAAGCACUUAAAGAUUAAAACAUCAUGAGUCGUUUUGGGAUGACCAAGGGAAGUUCUCCGAAUGUUUUUUUUAAAAAACUUUACACGUCUGGAUCAUUUGCAUAUUGCAUAUUUUCGUCGGACAAGGUCAUUACUUUGAUGCAAGCAAAUAUUGAGGAGCAGAGUCGGCAUUUUUUAAUUGAUGCUACAUUCAAAGUAUGCCCGUUUGGAGAUUUUAAGCAACUACUUAUUAUUUACAUAAAGCAUAUGCAGAAGGUAUGUGUUUUACUUCAGUUAAAUUUAAUGUCAAAAUUAAUUUGUUUUUAUUAUUAUGUAGAUCACCCCAUUCUUAUUUGUCUUAAUGACGCGCAAAACGGAGCUCUGUUAUCAGCAUUUAUUUACCUAUGUAGAUUCAAACUGUUCCGACCUAAACUCUUCCACAUCAUCGUCAUCAAGUUCAUCAAAUUUAAGCCAACUCUCGGAUUCGUUAUUUAUACAACAAAAUCCUUGUAAUGUAUGCUUAAUGAAUCCGAAAUCUGUAAUGCUUCGCCCCUGUAACCAUGUCAACAUAUGUAGUACAUGCUGGGACCAACUUGUCGAUAACCACGAACAAAAUGGAAUUUAAACUAAUCCAAAAUGCCCGACCUGCCAACAGGAAGUCGAAGAGGCUAUAAAAAUGUAUAUAUAUAUAACUAAAUAAAUUUAAACAAUGUAAUAGCAACAGAACAUACCUCCUAGCGGAGAUAUGUCGUUUUGAAAACACCGGUUGGAGACGAGAGCGCGCUCGCCUGCUUCCCAAAGGCCUCCCAUAUGGUGUGCCCCCGGAGGAAUAAAUUGCCAUUGCAUCUCUUGAUGACUAUAGGCAUUCAUCACCGACUCUUUUGAGUGAUGCCGGCCACGGCAAGUAAAACAAUUGUGCGUGCUUUUGCACUCACGAAGCUGAUGUCCCUUUGCAAAGCAGUUGAAGCAUAACUGCUUCCGUUUAAUGUAGGCUGGCCGGUCGUCAACCGACAUCUGGAGAGAACGAGUACAUACACGGACGGGAUGGUUUUCCUGUUGCACAAGUCGCAACUUUUGGAUAUUGGAUCCACUUUCGUCUCGUAGGAACUUAUUUUUCUAGAGGACCCACUUGAAUUCAUCGCUUUUGAGUGCGACUGACUUGGUACGGUCAGUCUCACAUCAUCGAUGGCCUCUAGGGUUCGAUGGCGUUCUGUGAGGAAGGUGUUCAGUUCUACCCAUGUCGGGAUGUCAACGUUCUUAUGGAGCGACUGCUCCCAUAAGGAGGGAGUUAUUUUCGGGAGCUUGGAUGAACACAGAUAUACCAGCAGGUAAUCCCUGUUCUCAAUGUUGAUGCCUGACAUUUCCAAGGCAGUCAAGCAACCUUGAACAGUACUUUGCAGAACCUUCAAGGCCGCCCCAGAUUCCUGUGGUAUCGACUGCACAUUAAAAAGGAUUUUCAAUUGACUGUUUACCAACUAGAGCGGAAACCCUCGUUGGUGCGAGGCGAAAUCGAAACGAUGGCAUGCGCGUCGCCACUUGUUUUGGCAUUUAAAUGGAAUAACUUUUCAACCGGAGUCGACCGUGGAUUAUUUUUUUAUUUUAUUCUAUCCUUUACAACUGGGAACGGAGAAAUUUGGAAUGGUGGAAUUGGAAUCUUUUCUCCGCGUUAUAAGUACUUCUAAAAACAAACACAAAUUAAUAUCCAAGCAAUACAGGAAAAAAUAUUUGUCGGGUGAACGACUUAUAUUUGGCAAUCGUCUAUUAAUAUUUUUUAAAUUUUGGUUUACAAAGAAA